AUUGAACGCUGGCGGCAUGCUUUACACAUGCAAGUCGAACGGCAGCGCGGGCUUCGGCCUGGCGGCGAGUGGCGAACGGGUGAGUAAUGCAUCGGAACGUGCCCAGUAGUGGGGGAUAGCGCGGCGAAAGCCGGACUAAUACCGCAUACGACCUGAGGGUGAAAGCGGGGGACCGACAGGCCUCGCGCUAUUAGAGCGGCCGAUGUCGGAUUAGCUAGUUGGUGGGGUAAAGGCUUACCAAGGCGACGAUCCGUAGCUGGUCUGAGAGGACGACCAGCCACACUGGGACUGAGACACGGCCCAGACUCCUACGGGAGGCAGCAGUGGGGAAUUUUGGACAAUGGGGGCAACCCUGAUCCAGCCAUGCCGCGUGCGUGAAGAAGGCCUUCGGGUUGUAAACCGCUUUUGUUCGGGAAGAAAUCCUCUGGGCUAAUACCCCGGGGGGAUGACGUUACCGGAAGAAUAAGCACCGGCUAACUACGUG
rnacentral:rRNA from 1 species